UAACGCAUUCAGUUUCAGGUCUGAGUG
rnacentral:sRNA from 1 species